CUGCUGCGGACAGAUCAUAUGGAUAUGGCAGUCCAAGAAUCCAGGUGUCAAUAUGCAGCCUUCUCCAGAGGAUACUUCUGUAGACGCACUUACCACCAGAUUUUCAUCAACGUUGUCCAUGACUCCCGGAUUUCCAGCCUUUCCUACUCCUGCAACUUUACCAUUUCUGAAUCCUACAUCUCCUUUUACUAUCCCUAAUACAGGAUCCAUUACCACUACGUUUGUAAUGACAUGAUCAAGAGCUCCGUCGGCCUGUGUA
rnacentral:sRNA from 1 species